CAGUAUUUAUCCUAGCACUGAAAGGAAGGAGUUAGUAGAUUUCACUUCUGACAGUGAAAAUUAUAUUCCUUGUCCCUUGGGACUACUGGCAGGUCGUAAACUUUGGGCAAUCUCCACAGAAUCCCUAAUGCUGUAUCCAAAGUGCUGACUCGUGUUCCUGCGCAAGAAGCAGUAGCUGGCUAGCAAUUGUUCACAACCGCAGCUCCAUCCCUCCUUGCGCUCCCCUCCAUCUUAUUAAACAAGCCACUGUCUGGGGGGUUCUUAUGCUAUUUUUUGUUUGCUCACUUCUUUCAGUUAGCCAGAUCAGGCACCUGAAUGGCUUCAUUGUUUGGGCUUCCUCUUUUCCUCCUCUAAACGUAAUUUUAAUUCCUGGAUUAUUUCAGAGCUAAAUAAACACCAGACGUGUUUAGUAUAAAUCCAGCAAGACUGAUCUGGAUCGCUCCUGCCCUGCCAUUCGCAUAGCAAAGGAGAGGAAAGACGGAAGGUGAGCAGGAAAGCACGCUGCUACCCUCGCAGGGACAGCGCUGCCAUAGAUUGGCGCUUUGUUACAUUGCUACCGUUCAAUCUAUUUUCCCCUACCAGAUUAGAUUGAUACUGACAACUCAUUCCCUGUGAAGGUGCCACAGCGUGGCAUUUAUUUGCAUUUACAUUGCAGUUCUCUUCAUCAGUCAGCUUUGCAGAGAUCACCACUGCUGCUGGCCAUAUUGUUGCUAUGCUGACACUUCAUCCUUAAGUGCCGCUUGCGUAAUGGUACAGUACGUGCCCAUGACCAAAGUUUAAAUCAAAGUUUAAUCAUUACGGAAAAACAAACAUAUUUCCGCGACCGUGUAUCCUGCAAGUAAAAGUAAAGGCAGUUUGGUCGGGUCACAGAUGCUAAUCUCUUUUUUUCUAUUCACAAACUAUAAAGGGAGUUGACAGCACCUGUAAAUGGUUUUCUGAGGCUAGAUUAUAUCUAAGGAGGAUUCAGUGGAGCGAGGAGCCAGGGUGAGGGGCGGUUCAAGCACAUGGAGUGCCUUGU